rnacentral:lncRNA from 1 species
AAAUCCAAGCGGUAAGAAUCUGGAUCUUCUCUGUGUAAUCUGCUUCUAGCCAUGCAAAGGUUGGUCUGUGCAUGGUCCCGCUUAAUCCAAGCGCCUGGAAGCCUCUGCGGAAUCAGGACCUGCAAAGCAGAAGUGGAAAAUGGGAAAACUGAGAUUCUCAUGUAUUUUUAAGUCUCAGUUGGCUAACGUGAGAAGGAAAAUUUGAAUACGACAAGACUACUCUGACAUUUUAGAGAAUUUUCCUAUUAGGAAUUGGAUAAACGGAAGUAAUGUGUCUGUGCUGUUUUGUGUACAUGGGUUAUUGACAGUCACUGCAAGUGCAUGACUGAGAUAGGUAGGCCAGCUGUUGUUCUAGAAGUUUAUAAAUGUUCAAACUUUAUUGUUUGUUUUGUAAUCUCCAUUUCUUAACAUCUGAUAUUUCUUUUUUUAUCUAACUGGUGAUCUUACUACUGUGUAUGAUUAAAUGAAUUACUUUGUCUUGUAAUGUUGCCUGGCAAAACCAGGCACAUUUUGAUGCAAGUUUGUUUCUUUUUAGAUUUAUAUCUGCUUAGGUAGCAUUAUUGCUGUUGAACUAGCGCAUUUUAUUUUCUUCAAUGAUAUGUGAUCAGAAAAUGAAAGGGAGAAAACGCAUCAAAUCAAACAUUCUUUGUAUAAACUCUGUUUCAACAUGUCAUUGCAAUAGCUAACGUUGGGCAGUGUUGGACUGUGGAAUAAGCGGGGCAAUUUUUCAUAGCUCUGAAGAUGUUUGAGUGGAUACUGGAGGUCUAGCUGUCACAAUUGUAUAGUUUCCCUGGCCUGUAUGAGUGCCUUGGCAGCUAUGUUCUGUUGCAAGACCUUGUAUAGGACUAUGUUUACAUGUCUUUUAUCUUUCAAACUUCAGCCUGUGAGGUGUGGGAGAAAGAAGCUAACAGUCUGAUUUAUGAGUCAAAUUUUUUGGAGGUGUGCAAGAGUAGUUAGUGAAGAUGAAACGAAAAAAAAAAAGAUGAAGAUUGGGGAAUGGAAUGUUUGGUGUUGGUUUUAAUUAGAAUCAUCCUGUUCAUCACUCAUACCAUGAGAUAAAAGGGGAGAAAUAUCCAUUAAUAUCGUACAUGCAGAGAGAAAAUAUUUGUAUUAUAGUGAGUGAGCAAUUCUAAUUGGCCUGCCAAAUAUAACUGAAUUGAAAUACAGACCU